rnacentral:rRNA from 1 species
GAUGAACGCUAGCGGCAGGCCUAACACAUGCAAGUCGAGGGAGAGGUUACCUUCGGGUAACCAAAACCGGCGCACGGGUGCGUAACGCGUAUACAAUCUGCCUUUCACAUAGGGAUAGCCCGAAGAAAUUUGGAUUAAUACCUAAUGGUAUAUAAGAGCGGCAUCGUUUUUAUAUUAAAGCUACGGUGGUGAAAGAUGAGUAUGCGUUCUAUUAGCUAGUUGGAGAGGUAACGGCUCCCCAAGGCGACGAUAGAUAGGGGUUCUGAGAGGGAUGCCCCCCACACUGGUACUGAGAUACGGACCAGACUCCUACGGGAGGCAGCAGUGAGGAAUAUUGGACAAUGGUCGGAAGACUGAUCCAGCCAUGCCGCGUGCAGGAUGAAGGUCCUAUGGAUUGUAAACUGCUUUUGUAAGGGAAGAAUAAGGAGUACGUGUACUUUGAUGACGGUACCUUACGAAUAAGCAUCGGCUAACUCCGU